rnacentral:lncRNA from 1 species
CACUGAACAAACCAAAAAAUAAAUAAAAUGAAGUGCCAUAUGUAUAUUGGGAGCCUUUUUUCUUGGUAGCAAUUACUAUAAUAUGCUAGUGAACAUGUAAUUUUCUAUUGAACAUUCUGCUUUGUAUAUGGAUAGGCAUGUAAUUUUCUAUUGAACAUUCUGCUUUGUGCUUACUGCAUCUCUAUUUUGGUGAUAUGGUGAAAGGAUUCUCCUAUAAUUGCAUUCUUUCAAUUUAUGCGAUUCUUUAUAUAUGCAUCUUUGUUUAUUAUUUCUAGAUAAUACUCUGCCAUGUUAUAUCAUAUAUGAGAUAAAAUGAUUAUAAUACUGUCGAGUUGAAUGACUGCAUCUCUACUUUGGCAUUGCGGAGUCCUGUUAUGUGCAUUAGUGUUGCCGAAGAACCUUUUACAUGUGUUUUGUAUGAAGAUGGUGCCCAGGUCGUUUCUGGGUUGCAGUCUUCACCCUAUGCUAGUAACAAUUUUCUCAUUUUUUCAGUUAUUUUUUACAAUUCAAGCUUUCAAAAUCAUGUGCUACAUCAAAAUGUUUUUCAUGGAUGCUAAAUUUGUUAUGUUAGUUGAAUUGCUGAGAUUUUAAGUAAUUUUAAUUUUCUGUCAUUUUUAGCCAAUAGUAUGACAAUUUAAAUUCUCAUGUUUCUUUUUUGUUCAGUUUAACAAUGACAAAAAAAUGAUUUUGGAGUCUUUUGUUAAAAUUGUUUUUUGCUUUAGUUUCAUUUAAUAACAAAUGAAUGAUUUUAUAGUUGAAUAACAAAUUGGGUUGCAGGCAGAAGAAUGUUUUAUUUGCAGAUCACUAUAGUUACCAUGGGGGUAGUAUUAAUGAAAAGCUGCUGGGAGAAGUUCAAACAGCAGUAGAGUGUGUUGCUGAGGAAGAGAGGCUCAACUUGGAUGCUGCUCUUCCUUUACAAAAUCUUUAAUUCUUACUUCGAUGUUAUUUGUUAGAUGUUGUGUAUUGAGGAUGGUAUAUUUGUUAGAUUUUUGACGAAAAUUGAAUUAUUUAGAACAUUCAUGUUUCAUCAAAAAAAAUUUCUGGGUUUGGAUUGAAGAAGGGAUGACAGUCGAAGAUUCAAAGGGAAACUCGACCUGCUGUUGAUUCUUGAGUUGUUUCUUCUAACUUUGAUUUCGAUUGUUCUGGAGAUUUCUUUUUGGUUUUAUCUGCUGCAGUUUAUGGUUGAAUUUUGAUCUGAUUGGAUAAUCCUUUUUAUUUGACCAGAUAUUUUUGAUUUGGCUGCAUUUAGAUCAUAUCCUUUUUAUUUGACCAGAUAUGUUUGUCUUGCAUUCAUGUAGUUUGAUCAAAUAUGCCUUCAUGUGUUUUGCCUUCAAGUUAUUUCUUUUAGUUUGAUCAAAUUCCGCAGCUACUUUAACAAAUUAACAUGCAUUCUCUUAUUGAAAAUGGUUAAUCGAUGUUACGCCAAGCCAAGCAUUCUUCAUCUCCAUACAAUUUCUGAACUAUUUAUUCCUUUGUUUUGCUUGUCGGCUUGAUUUUUCAGGUGAUCAGAAUGGAUAACAGAAAACGCAAGGGUUAUCGUCCUCUUCCUCUUUCCAGUACUCGGAAGGAGACGAAUCCUGCAGAUACAGGGGUGAGUUGACUUCUAAUUAUCUCCCCCUAAAAAAGUUGAUUUCUAAUAAGAUAAAUAUAAAUAUGUAAUUAUAUUAACCUUUUGUUCUGAGAUGAUAGUUCAAUUUUACUUUUUAACUUUUUUUUUUUUUUUCAUAUAUAUUAGGUAAAGAUAAUUAUUUAGAAGGAUGUUAAUGCAGAGUAAUAAUAAUAAUACUGUUGGAGUAAUAACUGUAAUUGAAAAUUCAAAAUUUUGCUAAAAAUUCAAAAUCUCGCUGAAACAAAUGUGUGCAAUAGUGUUGUUGAAUACAUAUUUGUUUUGCCUGUAUAAAUAUAUUGUUAUGACAGUAUUAAACUCAUAUUUUUUUUCAUCGUUAAUUAGUAUUGUUGUGACAUUAUUAAACCCAUUUUUUAUGCUAAAUAAUGUAAUUCUUGUUUUGCAUUUUAGAUUUUGAUAUUGACAUACUUAAUUUGCACGGCUCUUUCCAUGACGUAGGAAGUAAGAAAUUAUAUAUUUUAAAAUAAUUUUAUCAACUACAAAGUUUAUUCUUAAAUUUUAAUAUUAAAUAAAAUUUACGAGAAAAGAAAUACCGUAUAUGUUUGUGAAACCAAGGCUUUAAGAAAAGAUGGAACUUUCAUGUCGAGAUUCUAAUUGCACAUGAACAUCAACAUUUAUUUAAUUUAUCGUGUUAGUGGAUUACAUGGACAAUCAAACUAAUUACUGCUUGUUUAAAUUUCAUGUAGGGCGCGGAUUUUAUGAUGAGAGAUGGACAAAACAUUAUUAUUGUGAAACCUACUGAUUUUGCAACUCUUACAUAUCCCAACAGUAAGUAUUAAAAAACUCAAAGAGAAAUCAAAAUUCUACUUUUAUGUUUAAAAUGCAAAACUUUAUUCAAAGUUUAUUGCUUUGUAGAGAUAUGACAUCCGACUUGACAAUUUAGCAAAUUGUUAUCUAGCGCUACAAUUAGUAGUUGCACUAGUAAUUACAUAUUAAAAAGUACAAUUGUGCACUAAUAAAUAUACAUUAAGGAAUGAGUUUGCUAAUUAGCUUCUUAUAUGCAUUUGUUCUUAUUGAAUCAGAUCUCAACAUUUUGGACUUAAGAUAUGAAAAUAGAGAAGAAAUACCUGUGGAAGAAGCUGUAUGUAAAUUCUGUUUCAAAACAUUUGAAAGAGGAAAUAUGUUCAAGACAAAAUGUUUGUGCCCAAAUACCCUCACACAUGAAGAAUGUAUACUCAAUUGGUCAGGGGCGAAAGGAAACAACAAAUGUGAUGUUUGUGAGCAAGAGGUUCAAUGCUUUUCAGUAAAUUAAUAUCUGGCGAUGUCUAAUCCGUUACAGAAGCCAAGCAAAAGGGAAGGGAUUGGAUUUCACGAUUAAAAAGGUAUUCUCCAUUACUUCUUACUAUUUUUUAUUUUUUUUGAUUUUUUUGUUUUGGGAUCUGAUACAAUUGUUAGGGGAGAAUGGGGCAACUCAUGCGUCGCAUUCGCACACACAACACAAGACACUACAACACUUAAUUUCACGACUCAAAAGGAUUAAACUUUUUGGUUGAGAUUUACCAUACUUAAUUAUUAACCCAUCUACAAUUUUAAAUUUAUUCAAUACAUGAUUGAUACGAAAUAUCUCCAUGGUUUGAGAUGUACUAAUAUGGCUAAUGUUGGGUAGAUCUUCACGCAUAAAUUAGAAUAUUUUUUUUAUUAAAAAAAGAAAAACAAGUUUCAAAGUUGGGUUUUUUAGUUUUUAGGGUUUUGAUGUUUAUGUGAUAAAGUUGUUAAGGGUUAAGUCAUAACUCACACGUGAGUGAAGAAUUGUUGAUGUGGGUUUUUUCAGCUUUAAGAUUUUUUAUAAAAUAUUGAAUCCUUUUGUGUGGAAAGUUUUUUUUUAAGAUUAACAAAAAUAGUUUUAUUAAAUUUCUAUGUAAUACAAAUGUGGAAAAUUCAAAAGAUUUGUUGUACAAGAUUUGAAAAGCCGAAAGUUACACAGAAGCAUAAACAGAUGAGAACUUAGCAAACACCAACAAACUCUUAUUCCAGUAUGCAGAUCGCAGAUGUGAUACCAUGUUUGUUAAUUAAUUUGCUUAUCCUUUUAUGUUUGGCAGGGUAUGACAGAGUUGGUUUUAAUCUUCAAAGAAAAUCUCACUCAAACAGCUGCUGAUACAUUUCAGUAUCUUUAUCAGCUGCUAGUCUUUCAUUUGUUGUUGAAUUGUUUGUUACAAAAGUUUAUUAGAUCUUCUCGAAAAGUACUUCUCAGCCUUGCGUGAGACAUCCGUCUACAAAGUGUCUUUAAUCAUCUUUUUCUAUAAUGGGUUAAUGGGUAUAUGAUGUGCAGUGUGUUGUAAAAAAUAGAGUUGUUUUCUUUUGUGAGUUGUGAGUACUUGGAAUUUGGAGAAAUUGGGAUAUGUUGUAUUAGUUGGACCUUCUGGAUUUGAAAUGGCUAGCUAGCCAAACACUUGUCUGAGAACAAAUUGAAGUUGGGAUAUGUUGUUAAUUAGUGAUUGAAAACUCCGUAUUGUUUUGCCAA